rnacentral:lncRNA from 1 species
GUAGGGCUGCCUGCGUGGCCGGUCGCCGCACCGACUCCCAGGGCUCCACGUGUGAAGUGAACGCUCAGCCACUGGGGGGAGGGAGCCGGACACUGUAAGGCGCACGGGCUGCGUGGGCAGCGAGCCCUCCUGUAGGGACACCCCGUUGGCGUCCAGUCGGGGUGAUGACAUAAGGAGGAGGGGGUGAGAGCCGCCGGGCCACUGGUCAGGGUGAGCUGUGACGUCACAGGAGGCGUUGUGACGGAGGGGCGGUUAUAAAAGCCGGGGCGCGGGCCCGGGGCCUGGCUAAGGGUAGGGGUGGCCCCUCGGUGGCAGCUGCGUGCGCCGCCCGGCCUGUAGCCCACACGGCGCGGUGCGCUCCGUCUGCGUGUUCGUCCACCUGCGCGCCCCUCUGCGGCCGAGUCCCAGCCCCGCACUCCGGGACCUGCCCGUGCUCCUCGCCUCCGCGGCCUCUUCGGCGGGGGAACCAGUACAGAGGACCCUCACCCAGCGAAAAGCCCUCCCAGGCCUCGCGGAUAAGCGCCGGGCGGCAAGAGUGCCCCGGGGGUCCCGCUGACCCAGCGCAGCACAGGGCAGCCGCCGGCCCCGCUCUCGUCCUCGGGACCACCCCACCACCAGCACCACGUGCGCAGCGGGUCCAGCCCCAAGGUUUCCUGGAUGUCCCCGAGUCCUCGCCUGCGCCUGGCGAUCAGCGCCUCUGCCAGGCCCAGAGGUGGCUGGAAGAGGCUGCUCCCUAGCAGAAGACGUCAUUCCGAUGUGGUGUGCCCAGAAGAUGCAGAGGGUAAGGAGAGCGGCUCAGGAACUCAUGCUACCUGGCAGCCCUGGCCCUGGGCGUGUCCCUGGUUUCCCGGUGGUUCCCCAACCUCCGGAAAGGAGAGAACCAGUCCCCCGGCCCCUCCCGCCCACCAGGAUUCUGUCUGUAAGACGGAAGCCAGGAGAUGGCCAGGAAGGACAACCUGAACGCAGGCAAGUGGAGUGUCUUGACCCAGUAACAGACAUCAGAGGCCACCCAUCCAGGCGGAAAUCCAUCUCCAGUGGAGGGCCGAUCAGGGGCCAUCUGCGAGGGCAGGUUGCUCCUUCUGUCCGAGGCAGGCUUGGAAAGGUCUGUGCAGGACAGUGCCAAGGCCUGGCCAGGGUUUGGAGCCAUUCAGAGCGCAGGCCCCUAACGGGUCACUGGGCCAAGGUGCUUGCGGGGCUCGUGGCCUGAAGACCUUUGUCCUGGGACCGACACCAGCCUGGUGUCCUGGUGGCAUACCACUUGGGGACCCUUCUUCUUCUGGCUCAGAGGGAGCAAAGGCUGCGUGCGUUAGAACAACAGAACGACGAGAAGUGGGAAGACCUGUCCGUGGACAUCCAACUUAUGGAGGAAGGCACGCCGGACUCUGAGGGGAAGCUGGAAUUGACCAAAACAGCUCUUAACACCUUCGGGGAAAUUAGUGAAAUCUGUCUAAGGGAGUGUCUGAGCUGAAGGAGUCCCUGAAACUGUGUGCAGAAGAAAUCAAAGCUGGAAAACCUGCUUGUCAUCUUGGAAGGACACGCUUUAAAGAACUUGCCAGAGGACCAGGGCUCCCUGGACGUGGCCUGAGAUGAGAGCAGGGAGAGGGGACACCAAGGCUCCAGGUGCACCUCCUCCUGGGCGGUGGGCCCCUCAGCUCCUGGGCCUGUGGCUGGAGCUCAGGCGUCAUCCCCCAGGACUCCCCAAGGGAGCCCAGGCGGAGGGCGGCGAGCCGAGGACGGGCCAGCUCUGCCGAUGGGCUGUACCGACGUGAGUGCUGACGGAUCCAGGCUUUGAGAGGAGGCCAGCACUGCACCCAAGCGCCCCCGGAGAAAAGGAGCAUGGGAGACCACCAUGUGUGCAGGGUCCUUGGGCGGAGGCCUCGCCUCCCCUCCAACGGGUCACCUUCGACGCUUUGCAGGGAGCCCUGUGUUGCUGGUACAGGGAAGCCGGACCUCCCAGGACCGAGGGCCCCAGAACGAACAUCUAAAUGGAAAAUCCACUCCCUUCUCCACACGUCUGGAAGAGUGAAGACUUUCCUUGGGGUCAUGGUGCAGGCGCUAUGGGCAGACUGGGCGCCACACUUGCUAGUGACAGAAUCAGCCAAGUUUCUAGACGUUUUGAUUCCUUUCCCCUUCUGUUAUCAGUAUUCAUAUGCACAUGGCUUCCAUUUAUUUUUCAGGACAAACCAGUUAUUAAUGGAAACAACCUUGGCAGCCGGAGCAAGUGUCCUGACGUGUUGGGUUAUCAUUUUAUGCACCAGGGCACAACUGGCUGAGCACGGGCCCAGGAGGUCUGCUCAUGCCCCUCCCUGGUCCCCACUGACCCUCUGGGUCUCGUCUAAUGGGGGUCACCCUGGAUUUGCAUCCUCCAAGAUGCAGCAAGACCUUCUGUGACUUUAGCACAGAAUUCUAAGCACGGGGCCAUCUUGGCCACAGCUGGAGUGAUUGACAAGCACAGUCCCACAGGGGAAAGGAGAGAACAGAACACCCACCUCCCUUCUCCUUAUGUCAGACCACACGGCAGGCCAAGGUCGCAAGGCCCCACGUCGUGUCUGAGAUGCUCCAUCCAGAGUCUGUCCUGAGGACUCGGAGAUGAUCUCACAUCACAAGUCCCUCGUAUUUUAUUUUACAACAAAUGAUAAUAUUACCAGGCCAGCUGCACCUUCCCAAAGGUCGGUAGCAGAGAGGGAGCCUGCCUUGGGUGGGGCCUAGCCUCACGGGGAGGGGCGAGCGCAGGGCAGACAAGAGGUCCACCUCACCUCCAGGUCUGCAGGGCCGGAGUGCUCGCUGACCCCUCACUGCCUCCUGCGACAGAGUCACCCUGUCAGUCCCCCUCUGUACCUGGAGAAACGGGCAGGCAACGUAAGUCUGCCAGGUGGCCCGCAGGUAAGGGGAGGAGCCUGGUGUGACCGGUCCUCACUUGCACCGCUGUGGCCCCUGCCCACCCACAGGUCAGUGCCCACGCUUGUCAGCCUUGGGCGUGCGGCAGCGACAGUGGCAGCGAUGUCCAGAUGGAGCAGGGACGUCUGUGCCACCAGCCAGCGUGUCCAGGGGCUUCCACUCUGAUCCAGGGGUUGGCACGGCCCCCAGCACUGGCUGUAACCUCCAGGCCCCCCGUCCACUUCCUUCUGGCACUGUGCAUCUUCCCUUCUGGGGACUUGCCUGAACCCACAGUCCUCCCCCGCCUUUGAGUCCUGGAUUUCUCUUUCCUUUUUUCGUUGAGGAGGAAUUCACAUAAUAUGAGCCGACUUAGAGUGUACAGUUAUUGGCAUCUGGCACAUUCACAGUGCUGUGCAACCACCACCUCCGUCUGGUUGCAGAACAUGUUCAUCCCCCCGACAGGGAGACCCCUGCCAUUAGGCGGUCACUCCUCAUUCUGCCUCUCCCAGCAACCGCUAGUCCACUCUCUGUCCCGUGGAUUCAGCUGUUCUGGACAUUUCAUAUCAAUGGAAUCAUACAACGUGUGACCUUUCCCGUCUGGCCUCCAAGUGGCGUGUUUUCAAGGGUCAUCCAUGCUGUAGAAUGUGUCAGUACAGUCACGUGUCGCUUAAUGAUGGGGACACGUUCUGAGAACACGUCGUCAGGGGGUUGCUUCACGGUGCAAACAUCACAGUGACCUUACACAACCUAGAAGCUACAGCCUACGACACCCGUAGGCUACAUGGGACCACUGUGGUACACACGGUCUGUCGUUGACCGAAACGUCAUUAUGUGAUGCGUGACUGUCCUUCAUUCAUUUUUAUGGCUGAAUAAUAGUCCAGUAACAUCCACUGUAUGGAUGGAGCGCAUCUGUUUAUCCGUUUGUCAGCUGGUGCGUGUUGGCGUUGUUGCCACCUUUGGCUGUUAAGGCUGCUGUGAACAUCUGUGUAAAAUUUUGGUUUGACAUCAGUUUUCAGUUCUUCCGGGUAUGUACCUGGGUGUGAAAUUGCUGGAUCACGUGGUAAUUCUGUGUGUAACUUUUUUUUUUUUUAAUUUUAAUUUUUUUUUUUUAAAGAUUUUAUUCUUUCCUUUUUCUCCCCGAAGCCCUCGGUACAUAGUUGUAUAUUCUUCGUUGUGGGUCCUUCUAGCCGUGGUAUGUGGGACGCUGCCUCAGCGUGGUCUGAUGAGCAGCGCCAUGUCUGCGCCCAGGACUCGAACGGACGAAACACUGGGCCACCUGCAGCGGAGCGCGCGAACUCAACCACUCAGCCACGGAGCCAGCCCCUCCGUGUGUAACUUUUUGAGGAACCUCCACACUGUUUUCCGCAGCCCCUGCCCCACUUUUCAUUCCCACCAGCAAAGAAGGAGGGCUCCCACUUCUCCACACCCUCACUAACACUUGUUAUUUUCCACUUUUGGAUGGAGGCCAUCCUAGUGGGUGUGAAGUGGCAUCUCACUGUGGUUUUGAUUUGCAUUUCCCUAGUGACUAACGCAGGGGAGGUGAAAUUUCUCCCUUACCCUCCUGGGGUUUCUGGCUAGGACUGACAUGAGACAGAUUAAUAGCAGAAAACCAUUCAAGUCCUAUUUAAUAAGUGUACAUGUAUGUGGGAUCCUCACAGGAAAAUGAAGACCCAAAGAAUUGACAAGGCCUAAGUACUUAUAAAGCGGGUUGAACAAAGAGGGGCAACUGUGGAAAGUAACUAAAAUAUCUGGGGAGCCUAAGGGAGACGAGAGUGUGGCUGCACAGAGCUCCCUUGGCCCUGUCUCCCCGCCUCUGGUGAGAAGAGUUUCUCUCCUCCCAGGACGGGUGUGCGUCUUCCACGCGGGGCUUCCAUCUCCUGCUUGCAGGAGGCGAAGUGGAGGUUGGAGCGCCCCUCCUGCGCCCGCUGUUCUUCAGGUGCCUUUGGCUCAAAGUAGUUAGGGUGCCGAGGAGGCAUGUUUGGAGUGGUGUCCUGACGCCUUGUUAAUGAUGCUGAGCGUCUUUUCACGUGCUUACUGGCCGUCUGUGUAUCUUCUUUAGAGAACCGUCUGUUGAAGUGCUUUGUCCAUUUCUUAAUGGGGUUGUUUGUCUUUCUGUCUUUGAGUUACAAGAGUUCUUUUAUAUUCUAGACCCUAGAUUCUUAUCAGAUGUAUGACUUGCAAAUAUGUGCUCCCAUCUAUAGCUUGUCUUUUCACCUUCUUGAUAAUAUCCUUUGAUGCACAGAAGUUUUUAAUUUUGAUAACAUCCCACCUUUCUAGUUUUUCUUUCGUUACCUGAGCUUUUGGUCUCAUUAUCUCAGACUCCAUUGUCAAAUCGAGGCCUAGAUUUCUUGGGUGAAGUUUUUUAUUUUUUCCUUUUUCUCCCCAAAGCCCCCCGGUACAUAGUUGUAUAUUCUUCGUUGUGGGUCCUUCUGGUUGUGGCAUGUGGGACGCCGCCUCAGCGUGGUUUGAUGAGCAGUGCCAUGUCCGCACCCAGGAUUUGAACCAACGAAACCCUGGGCCGCCUGCAGUGGAGCGCGCGAACUUAACCACUCGGCCACGGGGCCAGCCCCGUCUUGGGUGAAGUUUUGCCCUGACAUCUGUGUCCUCAGCUCUCGCUGGUCUGUGCUGCAUCCACACUGAUGUCCAGGGACUUACCUGGGUCCUUUCCCUCUCGGUUCUGCUGAGCACGCUUGCCCCUGCACUUCUCCGGUUCCUCCAGGUCAGCAUGGAUCCUGAGCCACAGCCCCUUCCCCGGCCCCUUGGCCCUCACUUGCUCCUCACACCCCACCAGGAUGUUGGCUCCGGUAUUCGGUGCCGCGGUGCUGGGCACUUGGGCAGUGCUCGGCAGCUCUUCACACGCCCAUGCUGAAGCUCGGGCUCGGGUGUCUGGCGCCAGCAGAGACACUGGGCGCAGAGCUGGCUCUCGUUGUCUCACAGGCUCCUCGCUGACCCAGCUCCCAGCCCUGCGGGGCCCCCGUGACCGCCGCAGCGCCAGAUGGUUCAACGAACACAUAAUUGAGCCCCAGGAGGAGAGGAAGAGUGAACGGGGCAGGAAGAGAGAGCGAACAUUUUCCCGUGUUCACGAUGCCCCACGAGCACAGAAUCCCGGGCCCCGCGGGUGUGGGGGCUCCGCAAGACUGCGAGCGAGUACCCGGGAGUGUGUUACAUCAGGGAGUGAGGAGCGGGGCCUCGAACUCCAGAGAGGCCGUGUCUUCUGUCCCACCCAGGACAUGCUUCCAACACGGAAAGGCGGCCACGGAGCUCGAGGAAACGCCUACCGGCAAGAGAGCCUGCCAUCGCUUUCCUGUCCCUGCUGCUUCUCCAUGUUGGCCGAGUGCCGAUGCUGGAGGUGAGGCCAGAGGAGGAGAAGACGGGCGCCCGCAGUUCCUUUCCUCCCAGAGCUCCCGUGUCCCAGGCUGGCUGGGAUGUGCUCGGAGCAGACAGGAGGCGUGACAGCUACAUCCAUUCUGCACAGCCUUCCCCGUCCCGAGAGGAGUGAAAAAUGCACACGCACGGAUGAGCUAAAGACACAGAUUGUGGGGUUCAGCCAUUCUGCGUGAGAGUCACAGUUCUUAGAUUUGCAUUUAAAUCCGGCAUCGCACAGUGUAACAAUGACAGUAAAAUUCAUGCUGAGGAUUUCAAAUCUUCCUUUCCUCGAAUGACAUUAAAGGCAAAUAAAAAAACACUGAGACAAGUAGAGAGAUCACGGAAGAAAGGGUCCGGGAUGUGGAUUCGUUUCUGCCAAUUCCAUGUUGAAUUGAAGACAAAGAUAACAGGAGCAGGUACAUGCAUUGUCAGUUGCUCUUCCAGCAGCUGUAUGUUUAUCCUCUAGGAUUUGUUUUCUUUUUUUUUUGGUGAGGAAGAUUGUCCCUGAGCUAACAUCUGUGCCAGUUUUCUUCUAUUUUGUGUGUGGGACACUGCCACAGCAUGGCUUGAUGAGCAGUGCUAGGUCCAAGCCCGGGAUCCAAACCUGCAAACUACUAGCCACCAAAGCGGAGCACACGAACUUAGCCACGAUGCCACUGGACCGGCCCCAUCCUCUCCUUUAGUAAUCACUGUAACUUGUGAGCAGGACACAGUUGGAAACAUUGGUUAUAUUACCAAGGCUUUGACUGGAAUGUCGCAUUUGAGAAAAACAUGCAGACUUAGAUAUGGCAAGAUGGCUUUUGAAGAACAAAGGUUGACUUUAUGGAAUAAAGCUGCCUGGAAAUAUUGGCCUGGUACCUUGUUUACAGGAUUCCCAGCAACCUUACCAGGGAGUCACCCCUCAAGUGCACCAUACCUGAGUCGAGAGCCACCUGAACCACAAGACCUAGAAACUCCAAGCCAUCCUGGCUUCUCCUACGAGUCACUCUCAGGCCUGAAGCUCUUAUUCCGGAGACACAAAGAUAAGUCCUUGGUGGGCUGGUGUCCCACCCCGUGGAGGUGCCGGGGCUCCUUCUCCUGUCGUCUCUCAUAACUAUACUUAUCCCCACGCUGACCUGUGCCCCCUGGAGUGCCUGUGUCUACAGCACCACCAGGCUACAGAGAGGCUAGUUGGUUAAACAAAAAGGGCCGAUCUGGAGUGGAGUCGAACAGGCUCUUCCCAGCCUGGUUUGGUUUCUAUCACCUUUGGGGGACCUCUUGGGGCUAUUCCGCUGCUUCCACUCUUAGGGCUUUGCAUCCUAAGCUGUCUGGUUUCCUGUGUUAGCAAAAGACUAGAAUCUAUUAAACUCCAAAUGGUAUUAACGAGGGAUAUGAGAGGUUAGGAGUCCAACUGGAUGACAAGCAAACCUACCUAAAAGUCGUUGGGCGUAAGCCCUGCUCCUCCACGGGCCCCUGGGACGCAGCCCUGCUCAGCUGGAAGUAGUUACGGAAGAUGCACCUUCACCUCCUGCCCCUCAACAAUGAGAGCAGGACAUUGUCAGAGGAGGAUUUUGUCCCCCAGGGAAGUCCCUGACAUGUUUCCGUGUCUAACGCUUUGUUCUUAAGCUGUGCUUGCUUAUAGGAACCCAGGCAGGACAAUGCCAGGUGGCCCAACCACAGAACCGGUCCAAACCAGAAAGGUUCAAGAUGGUGAUGGGGUGCUGUGUGCAAAAGAUGCCAUGUGCAAAAGGAAAUCGUGCAAAAGUGCCGUGUGCAAAAGGAAAUGUGUGCAAAAGUGCCGUGUGCAAAAGGAAAUGUGUGCAAAAGUGCCGUGUGCAAAAGGAAAUCGUGUGAAAGGAGCUCUGUGCAGGAAGGGAAGACCUUCGCAUGCCCCCGCCCCGAGCGAUGAGGCGGAGACCUCUCCCCUUCACAUCCACGAGAACCCUGCUCACCUUCCCUUCCAGGAGAAGGUGUUGGAGAGCAGGAGCUCUGCCUCCUCCAUUCGUUGAUGAGUGAAUAGCGUUUCUGCUCUGCUAUUCUGAACCCAGUCUUGUCCUAUUGGCAUGGGUGGCUCCGGGCAAAAGGACCCCUUUGCAGGUCACUGGUCCCUUGGGGCUCCGUAACACCUCCUCCACACGGCAGUGGUGCCAGAUGGACCUGGGUGCAGAAGAGCGCAGAGUCACCUGCUCGCUGUGGGGCCACAACAGCCCAAAGCGCCCCUGGGGGCCCAGGAUGGAGUCUUUCAGAGGACACACCAGCUUCAGGGGCCCCAGGAGAGACAAACCUUGAGCCUUCCUUGCACAGCUCAAGGCCUGAGGCAGGCAGAGGCCUCCAGCAGAGCCUCCAGGGUCCUUCCGGGUCAGAGCCAGCAGGGGGUCAGGGCUGCAGGGUCACACCAGUAGACACGCAGCCCGGCCAGGCAGCACCGAGUGGGAGGAGGGAGCCUGAGACGCGGGGUGGGGACAUGGGCAGACACAGGAGAAGCCACCUUACCCCCAAGUCCCCUGAACCUCCCCUCUGGGAAGCAGCCUUGCCUUCCUCAAAGCCCAUCAACGCCCCACCUGGGGAAGUGGCCAGGAAGGAAGUGCGGCCCCGCCCCCGACCCCUCACUGAGGGCUCCUGCUGCAAGUUCCUGCAUGUGAGCUGCAGAGUGUGUGCUCCGGUGGAACUGGGCAUCGCCCAUGGCAUCGCCAGGGCCUGGGAGCACAGGUGAGUGUGCAGGGCGCCAAGACUCCAAGAGGAAGAUGAGACGCAGAGCUGAGCCGGGAGCGUCGGCUCAGCUGAAACGGAGCCAGACUUACAGAGGGGGGAACCUGCCCAGGGCUUGGGAUGCAACGAUGCUCGAAAGCAUGCAAGAAGAGAUGUCCUACAGGAAUAAGGCAGAUACCAGUGCUGCUGUGGAAGAUGAUGGAGGAAGGAGUCAAAGGCUCAGAGGAAUGAGCCUGCCGGAGGGACGGACCGACCCCAACAGAGGAGUCUUGGGAGGACACGGUCCAGCCCACGGCAGGUGACACAGGAUGAGAAAGGAGGGGCCAUGACUUUGGAGGCCUUGCUAAGAAACACGAGCUUUGCAGAAUGGAGACAAACACUACAGGGACUGGGGCCACCACACCCGAGGAGGU